GGGGCUGUAGCUCAGUUUGGCAGAGCGCGUGAAUGGCAUUCACGAGGUCAGGGGUUCGAACCCCCUCAGCUCCACCA
rnacentral:tRNA from 1 species